GCGCGCGCGCGGCCUGGCGGCUUCUUGCUUCGCUCCCGGGCCCGAGAGAGGAGGAUGCGCGCGAAAAGGCCCUCUCCUCCUCGAGGGAGGCAGGCGGGGCCGCCGCUCCAGAAGGCUGUUAACAAGCCGGGCGUAGACGACUGUCUGACAGGAAUCCAGGAGGUGCAAGUCGGAAUCCGCUCAAAACGUUUCGCCGCCUAAGGUAUGCCAGCACCUUGCAAAUUCAGGCAGUUGCCUGGGGACCACAAAUUUUAUCAAGGAUUUCUCUUUGAACCGAGUCUUCAACUUGCUGAGAUCUUACCCAUCCUCUCUGCUGCUCUUCCAGAACUUUGGAGACUGGUAGGGCAAAUGAAGCCAGGAGCUCAGAAGUGACCAUGACCCAGCUAAUCAAGAGAGGAACCAUAUCACUGCACUCUGGAUAGUAUCUUGCAUAUACUUGUGACUUAAGAAAUAUUAUGUAGCAGCAGCAAUAAUUAUUAAUGGAAAUUUUAUGGUACCAAGCAGAUUUAUUAAUGAGAAGAAAGACAAGACAUGUGGUAAGAUUUGAUAACUGAAACAUUAACCUUUU